rnacentral:rRNA from 2 species
UUUGGUGGCGAUAGCGAAGAGGUCACACCCGUUCCCAUGCCGAACACGGAAGUUAAGCUCUUCAGCGCCGAUGGU